rnacentral:rRNA from 1 species
AUUGAACGCUGGCGGCAUGCCUAACACAUGCAAGUCGAACGGGGCAGCAAUGCCUAGUGGCGGACGGGUGAGGAAUACGUAGGAAUCUGCCCUUAAGUGGGGGAUAACCAGGGGAAACCCUGACUAAUACCGCAUGAUCUCUUCGGAGCAAAGAGGGGGACCGCAAGGCCUCUCGCUUCUGGAUGAGCCUACGUCUGAUUAGCUAGUUGGUAGGGUAAAGGCCUACCAAGGCGACGAUCAGUAACUGGCCUGAGAGGAUGAUCAGUCACACCGGAACUGAGACACGGUCCGGACUCCUACGGGAGGCGGCAGUGGGGAAUAUUGGACAAUGGGCGCAAGCCUGAUCCAGCAAUGCCGCGUGUGUGAAGAAGGCCUUCGGGUUGUAAAGCACUUUAGCCUGGAAAGAAAAAAUUUUGGUUAACACCCAAAGUCUUGACGGUACCAGGAGAAUAAGCACCGGCUAACUCUGUGCCAGCAGCCGCCGUAAUAC